rnacentral:rRNA from 1 species
GUGGGGAAUCUUCCGCAAUGGACGAAAGUCUGACGGAGCAACGCCGCGUGAGUGAAGAAGGUUUUCGGAUCGUAAAGCUCUUUCGUUAGGGACGAACGUGCUCUUUGUGAAUAAUGAGGAGUAAUGACGGUACCUAAAUAAGAAGCCACGGCUAACUACGUGCCAGCAGCCGCGGUAAUACGUAGGUGGCAAGCGUUGUCCGGAAUUAUUGGGCGUAAAGCGCGCGCAGGCGGGAUAUCAAGUCUGUCUUCAAAGUGCGAGGCUCAACCUCGUGAGGGGACAGAAACUGGUAUUCUUGAGUGUCGGAGAGGAAAGUGGAAUUCCAAGUGUAGCGGUGAAAUGCGUAGAGAUUUGGAAGAACACCAGUGGCGAAGGCGACUUUCCGGACGAUGUCUGACGCUGAGGCGCGAAAGCUAGGGGAGCGAACGGGAUUAGAAACCCUAGUAGUCC